UCUUUUUUUCAACUUUUCAAUUUCAAGCCAUUUGCAUUUGACUUGACGUUGAUUGAUAAUGUUAAUGUUUUAGAUUAUUUUAUUAUAUUUUGUAGCAUGUUAAAAGUAAAUUUGAAAGUGGUUGCAGUUAAAUAAGUACUCAAUUUCCAUUACUCCAUUCUGAAAUUGGUGUUUAUACGUAAGAUGUUAUCCGCCGUAGAACGAAGAACAGGAUCAGGGAACACACUUCUUGAUUCGUCCAGAAGCUUUCGCGUGCCUCGAAUGCCUCCUUGAAUUUAAAUUCCUGACAUCAGAACUACAAUUUGUAAGGAAACCUCUACACAUCAAAGGACUCCAAGAAACUAUGUUUGGUUUAUGCUUAAUAGCAAAGCAUCAGAGUAGUAAAACAAAUAGAUGAAGUUUAAAACAUACUUGUAUAAUCACAAGCUUUGCUACAGAUAUAUGUAAUUGCUGCUUUACCUGGCAACCAGUAUUGGAGGGGAAAAGUCAGAUUCGAGCCAUCACAAUAGAUUGGAAGCGGUGAAUGUCACCUCUUGAAGACCUGCAGAGCCGCUACUCCUAAUUUUGAAAGCAGAAGAUACAACAUUACUCUGCCUUAUUUUGGCUGGUGGGGAGACUUAGGCCGUGGCUAUUUACCACCCUACCGUCAAAGACAUACCACCAAGCGAUCUAGCAUUCCGGUAAAAUGUCAUGUAGAUACCGAAAGGGGGUGUGGAUUGUCUUCCUACUCCUAACAAGUUAGCCUGUUACCAUCUUAGAUUACAUAAUCACUUUCUAUCAGGUGAGAUUGUAGUCAAGGGCUAACUUGUAAAGAAUAAAAAUUUAAAAAAAAAAAUGCUAUUGCUGCUUGAUACCGAAAAAUGAACAUUUUAACUGCCCCUGUGUCUGGCUGCAACCAAUAAUGGGAACUAGUCAGUGGCGUUCACAAUAGAUCGGUAGCGGUCCACAGGGACCUCAUGAAGACCUGCAGAGCCACUAUGCCUAAAAGAAAAUGAAAUUUUUCAAACAAACAGAAGCACACGCAGCCGCAAUUGGCAGCAACAUUCCAUGAGGUAUUCCAUGACCUGGGCGGCUACCUAAGUUUCUGGAGCGAGAUCAGUUGGCUGGAGUAACUCCAGUGGGGACCAGCACCUAAUGGUCCGACGUACAACGGCCAACCCUAGUGGCUAUGUGUGGAAAAGGCCCAGAAAAGAAAGAAGAAGAAGUCUGCGUCUCAUAUUCUUCUUUGAGGCACCUAACCAGCCUUUAAUGUCAGUUGUCACAGUUCCGUCUGAUUCCUUGAUAAAGCAGAUUAUAAUAUAAAAGCAUUUUGAAUAAAAAGUUCUGCUUUGUUUCAUCUCCUUGGAGAAUGGUAGCUCUGAUGUUCAAAUUUGAUGACCUUUUCCAUUAAGGCAUUUUUGCCUAUAUUCUGUUGAGUGACAAUGCUUCAUGCAAAGGGUUAAAAUGCGCCACAGUUGCGCCUUGGUUUCUUCAGUCAUUUCAUGGUUACUUGCCUCUGGAAAUAUUAUUUUUUUUUUCUCUUUGGAUCUGCAAUCAGUCGUUGGACUUUAAGCAGGUGAGUUGUGAGACUUUAGGGCGGUUUCUGACAGGAGAGCCAUAGCUCUGCCGUCACCUAGUCAUCAAGCACGUCAGCUCGCUUCAGGCAUUUAAUUUGCAGCGCUACCAACAAUGAGCUAGCGAGGCGAUUAGGAUGUCUCAUUAGCCUUUCUUUAUGCUUUUUGCAGUUAUUACUGAUUUCCUCACAGACAGUUGGCAUUUCAAGGUCUUUAUCUUGAAAUGCCUCUGGAAAUAAUGGUGAAAAUAUCUGCAGUUCUGUUAUGAAGGUUUCAUAAAUGACAGUAGCGUAAAAAUCAUUCCUGUACUCUCUCAAUUCUCUUUUUUUUUUUUUUUUUUUUGGACUCCAUACAUCCAUACUGGUUUAAUUAUUGUCUUAUAGACAAGUAGCUUGUUUUCCAGGGACAAUCUGGAGUUCCGAGCAAGAAAUAUAAUAACUCUUGUAUAAUAUGGGUUAGGGUUGUUUUCUUUGGCAUUUUCUGGUAGCAAUGCUUCUAGCAAAAAAUUGUUUUUUUUCUUUCUAUACUCUUUAUUUGGAGUUGACAUAUUAACAGUUAUUAAAGUAAAAUCUCUCAAUUCUCUAAAUAUUAAAUUUUAUGUAUGGAAUACACUAAAUUUCAUAAAAUAAUUUGAAUAUUGCUGUACAUACUCUACAGCAAUAUUCAAAGCUUCGUACUACAAUCAAACAAUGUCAUUAUUGUGGUACAUUGGUGUACAAAUCCUAAUGGUUUGCUUCAUGCAAUGGUUUUAAAAUGAGCCGUGAUUGCGUCUUGGUUUCUUCAGCCAUUUCAUGGUUACUUGCCUCUGGAAGUAAUGUUGAAAAUAUCUGCAGUUCUGUUAUGCAGGUUUCAUAAAUGACGACAGCGUAAGAAUUUUCCCUGUAACCUCACAAUUUAGUGUAUUCCAUACACAAAAUUUCAUAAAAUAAUUUGAAUAUUGCUGUAAGUACAGCAAUAUUCAAGUUUGCUUCGUAUUAACAAUCGAAUCAUAAAUCAUUUAUUGCCAGAAUCUGGUCAUAUACAGAUAUUGUUUCAUUUUAAUGUUCAUACACAAUCUGCCUCAUAGGUAUGCAAGCCAUUGUUCUCCUUGCGUCGUAUUCCUCAUUACUGAGGGUCGUGACCCCUAUCACAAGCUUGCUUCUUCACGAUGUUGCGCCAUGUGGCUCGGCUUUUCGCGACUUGCACUGUUGUCAUGGUGAGUUGGGGUUUUCUUGGGAUUAAAAUAAUGUGGUGGGCUCCCAGAUCCUUCCACAAUAGAUUUUUUAAGAAGUUUAAUUUUAUUUAUCCCCCGCCCGAGAUAUCCCUGCGCGUUUUGCACCACCCAGGGGCACGUGUAGGGUGGAUCUCAGAAAGGAUGAGAUGGUAGAUCCUACGGACGCGCGCAGCAGGCCACCCCCCAAUAUUUACAAUGUCAUUUCAUAAUUUAAAGUCAAUGAAACAAAAAUAAUAAAAUGAGAUUAACACGUUGAUCGCUUUAUGAAAAAUCAAGUAUUACCAAUCAGGCCGCGGGGCUCACUGGUGAGCCUACUCGUACUAAACCAUUUAAGCCAUGGGGGUCACCGGUGAGCCGCGUCAGAUGUUUCUUGCAACCGCUUCCUACAAGCCACAGAAUGCAGCUAUGAAGUAAAACGCGUACGGAAGUGAGCCGCGUGGCCCUGUAGCCAAUACAGACGGCAUGGUUUUCAAAUCGGAUAGAAACUUUUAGUUUUUCUCGAGGUAUUUGUGAUGACGCUGAUGGGUUGUGUUAACCAUGCGGUGGAAAAAAAUAUUUAACUUUAUUAUAAAUAGUAAAACUACAUAAUAGUAAUCAAAUAUUUAUUCAAAUACAAAUUUUAA